AUUCGUUCACAUUAGGUAGUAUUAUUUAAACAUAAAAACCAAUUAAAUUUGACAGUCAUUUAAUUCAUUAAAGGAGUUCGUUUUAUAAUCGACAUUACUCGUUCUAUUUCACUUAAUUAUAAUAAUUUACAUACCGCCGUUAUUAAGAAAAUUAAAAAAACUUUUCAAAAUAUUUAUCAAUAAAAAAUCAGGUCAAGGUGUAAUAAAAUAAAAAGGAAAAAUUAACUACUUAUAAAAAUCAUUUAUUAAUUAAAAUAAUUAAAAUAUUUUAUAAUUAGAAUUUAUAAUCAAUAAACAUUAAUUAAAUUAUUCUGAAAAAUAAAAUUAUGAUGU
rnacentral:rRNA from 1 species